UGCACGCUGGGAGCGCGGCGGCAGCGCCAGGAGGGAGCGUGGCGGCCAUUUUGUGCCUGCCUCGCUCGCCUCCGGGAAGGGGCCGGUGCGGGCGCUGCGGGCUCGGCGGGGAGGGAAGGAGGGAAGAAGGAGUUUGGCUGUUUGCUUUUCUGCCUAGGUCGCGGGCGCCGUCGCCAUGGGCCGUAAGAAGAAGAAGCAGCUGAAGCCUUGGUGCUGGUAUUGUAACAGAGAUUUUGAUGAUGAAAAAAUCCUUAUACAGCAUCAAAAAGCAAAGCACUUUAAAUGCCAUAUAUGUCAUAAGAAAUUGUAUACGGGACCUGGUUUAGCUAUACACUGCAUGCAGGUACAUAAAGAAACAAUAGAUGCUGUUCCAAAUGCUAUUCCUGGAAGAACAGACAUUGAACUGGAAAUCUAUGGCAUGGAGGGCAUUCCAGAAAAAGAUAUGGAGGAACGGAGAAGGUUACUUGAACAAAAAACUCAGGCAGAAAGCCAGAAAAAGAAACAACAGGAUGAUUCUGAUGAGUAUGAAGAUGAUGAAUCUGCAGCUUCAACUUCAUUUCAACCCCAGCAAGUCCAGCCACAGCAGGGGUACAUUCCCCCAAUGGCACAACCAGGUUUGCCUCCGGUGCCAGGUGCACCAGGGAUGCCUCCAGGUAUACCGCCAUUAAUGGCAGGUGUCCCACCAAUGAUGCCUGGCAUGCCUCCAGUGAUGCCUGGGAUGCCACCUGGAUUACAUCAACAAAGAAAAUACAUGCAGUCAUUUUGUGGUGGAAACAUGAUGAUGCCAAUGGGUGGAAUGAUGCCUCCUGGGCCAGGAAUACCACCUCUUAUGCCUGGUAUGCCACCAGGUAUGCCGCCGCCUGUUGGCCCUCGUCCUGGGAUGCCUCCAAUGACACAAGCACAGCCUGUUACAGCACCAGGCAUCCUUAACAGACCUCCAGCUCCUGCUGCGUCAGCACCUACCCCUCAGCCUCCAGUUACUAAACCACUCUUCCCGAGUGCAGGGCAGAUGGGGACACCUGUCACAAGCUCAAGUACAGCUUCCUCCAAUUCAGAAAGUCUGUCAGCAUCUUCUAACGCUCUGUUUCCUAGCACAGCACAAGCUGCAGCGGCUGUUCCAGGUCCAGUUGGUACUGAUUUCAAACCUUUGAAUUCUACACCUGCAACAACAACAGAACCCCCCAAGCCUACAUUCCCUGCUUAUACACAGUCUACAGCCUCAACCACUAGCACGACAAACAGUACUGCAGCUAAGCCAGCUACAUCUAUAACAAGUAAGCCUGCUACCCUUACGACAACCAGUGCAACCAGUAAGUUGAUCCAUCCAGAUGAGGAUAUAUCGCUGGAAGAGAGAAGGGCACAGUUGCCUAAAUAUCAGCGUAAUCUUCCUCGGCCAGGACAAGCUUCCUUGGGUAAUCCACCAGUUGGACCAAUUGGAGGUAUGAUGCCACCACAGCCAGGAAUUCCUCCACAGCAACAAGGGAUGAGACCUCCCAUGCCUCCUCAUGGUCAGUAUGGUGCUCAUCACCAGGGCAUGCCAGGAUAUCUUCCUGGGGCGAUGCCUCCUUACGGUCAGGGACCUCCGAUGGUGCCCCCCUACCAAAGUGGACCUCCUCGUCCUCCAAUGGGAAUGAGACCUCCUGUAAUGUCGCAAGGUGGCCGCUACUGAUGCUACUACACACGCUCUAAUAGGUUUUUAGAAGUGAAGUAUAGUAAAUAUGGUUCGUUAAAUUGUGAAGGCGCUGGAAUUACAUGAACAUACCACCUUAAAGCCCUGCCAUAGGACAGGCUGAGGCAGAGUCUCAGUGUUGCCCUGUUCAGUCUGAGGCAAGUGGGAUUUAUUUUAUUCCUUCCAGGGGCCUUCACAGCUUUAUGGCUGUUGGAUAUUUAUGUCCCCAAACUUGCAGCAAGUUUGGUGAAGGCCCCUAAAUUUAUUUUAAUUUAGGUUUUUUAUUCUUUUGGUAGAUGGGCUCUAUAUUAAUAUUUAUCCUUUUAUUAUCACUGUGUUUUUAAGAGUCUUAGGGGGAGGGAACGUGUUAUAAGAUGUUUGAGUACCAUUUCUCUUACAGAACGUGUUUCCUUCAUGGCUGGUCAGGUAGUCCUUCAGCCACGCUGUACCCUGCCCCCUUUCCCUGCAUUGUAUUUGUGCUGUACUGGUUUUUGGUUUUGCUAAUGUGACUAUGUGUAGUCUUUGAGGUAGUGGCAUGUAAAGGUUAAUUGCUAAUGUUUCCUUUACUGGGGAGAUGUAUUUAUUGAAGUACUUAAAAUAUUUAGGUAUUUAGCUAAUAAGCGGUAUUACUAGUUAGAAAAUAGCAUAGCCUAAAUUACAGAAUCCGGUUUCUGUGGAGGAGGAUAUUAACUGCUGCAUUUGUGAGCUGUGCCACAAUUAAUAUUAAUGUAGAGCCCUAUGAAGAAGUAGAUACUCAAGUUGGUAAAGUAGAAGGGAAGAAUGAGAAAUCAAAACUACAGAUGUUUCAGUUCAUCAGUUUCAGGAAAACCUUUGUAUCAGUCACUUAAAUGCACCCAACUAUGCAAUAUUUUGUCUGUUGCAAUGAUGUACUGAAAAUGCUUAUGUUUUGUUGAAACCUUGAGGAAUUUUGUUGCAUAUCCAAAAUUGGCUUAAGGAUACAGGAAUUUGAAGUUACUACUUUUGUGCAAUAGAUAGCAAAAAAAAUAAAUUGCCCCUCGUGAAAGAAAAACUAGCGUUAGUGUUACUGCUCACUCUGUUUGAAAUGCAUUGGUUUUGAAUGAUUGAGGUUGCUUAAAGACAACUUCAGCCUCAGAAGAACAGAUUUUGACCAUGGAGGUCUUGCAGCCUGUCAGCAGUGAAACUCUUGAAUUAGCAAACAUUAGAAUCAGAUUUUAAAAUCUUUUUUGAUUUUUGUGUUUUUUUUUUUUAACUUGUGGCAUUUUUUGAUGAGCACAAUGGUUCGUUUCUUCAAGAUUAUGCUGAAUAAUGACCCACCUGUGAUUUUCAUCAGGUUUAAUUAAAGGAUAAAGUGAGUUGUAAUUCUUUUUUAGUUCAAAGAAUGGAUUUUACACUCCUGUUGUACUUGCACUCUGCCCUUUACGUUUUCCCUAUAGGGGGUCUCCCAAGUAGUCUAUUCUGACUGGAAAAUGGAUGUCCUCUGUUAACUGUUUCAAAGUAAUUAGUAAGCAUGGUGUUGCUUUUCUAAUUCUCAUUGUGAUGCUGUACUUGAUAACAGUGAAGAUGAGAACAACUCUAAGGUACAUUACUGCAACUAGGCUUUAUUUCAUGUAUUUGGUCUAUAGGAGCAUUUGGUUUACUUCUUAUUUCCACUGGAAUAUCUAAGGAAACCAUUUAACCAAAAACAUUUUUCAGUAUGGCUUGUACUUCUUCCUUUAAGUUUAUCUUGUAAAGGCUUGAGAUGAAAAAAUAGCCAAACUUCAAAUGCAUGAUAGUAAAUAUGUCACCAGUUUCCAUUUAAGACUCAUGCAACAUGAGGUAGUUUUUCUGCAGCUAGUUAUAUUCAGUUUUCAGCACACAAAGCUGGAAUUCACCAGAAAUGCUGUAUUGUCUAUAGUGGAAUACCCUACUUAGAUCCAUGCUUGGGUUAUGUCUAAUGAAUUGGUACUCUGGUGAGAGCUAUACGUUUUCAGAUUAAACUUUUGAUCUGAUUUUGCUGAAGAUAACCAGGUUUGAUAUGUUCGUGGAAAAAUGUUUCAAAAAUGCAGUUCCAGUUUUCAUUGUUGCUAUUAAGUUGUGCAUACUAAUAUUCAGGAGUAAAUCAGCCAUUUCUUUGUGGCUUUGCAUAUUCUUUUCACAAAGCAUGGUGGUACUUAGCAUCACAAUGCUAUGAAUUUUUUUUUUCUUGAAACUGCUUUUGGACAAUUUCAGGAAAAGGAAUUUCAUAUUACUUCUGAAAGAUGCAUUUUGCACUAGGACAGUUCCAUGCUGUUACUGUAUGGAUUCAGGCUUUUAGUUCAGGGUUUUCUUGUAGUUCACACAUUCUUCACUUCCAUCAUUUAUGUUCCUGUCCAUUCCAUAAGUCUCGAAAGGACUGGACAGGACAGAGGCUUUUUGUUCUGUGUUUGGGUGUUGGUAGCUUUUAACAGGUUAUAUCCAUGUUACUCACAUCUGUUACCACAGACUAAUAUUUAUGCUUAAAUUUGCAGCAACUAAUGUGUUUUCCAUUUGCUUUGUACUUAAUCCUAAAAGGUACAUGUGAAAGUACUGCUGUAUUCCUAGUCACGAGGAUGGCAUAAUGGCUCUCUGCUAAAAAGGUGGGAAUGUGUCCUCAGCUGUUAGACCAGUUGCUCUGUCAUCUCUUUAAAACAACUUGUAAAAUUCUCAUCUAGUGCAAAAGGCUCAUAUCGUACUCCUUCACUGAAAUUGUUAGUGACCUCCUCCCUGCCUCAUGUGGAUCUAAGGAGGAUAGUUCCAAAAAACUUUACUUUUAUUUUGAUGGCUGGUAGUGUGGUUUUUACUGGCACUCCUGUGUGCUGGCAGUAUUGCAGCUUUCAGUAUUGCAGCAGUCUGUAUAUCACAAAGCUGUACAUCUCAUUGCUCGUGGAAUUUUUAACGAUAAUAUUUUAGUCAUUUGACUUUCAUUAUUAUAUUAGGUAUUCAUGGAAAUAGGCUUUGGAAAGUUUGGUUCUAUUUAAGUUUAUGUAGAGGUACUUGAGGCUUUUUUUCUAAGGUCAAGAAUUACUGAAAUUGUGCUAAAUUGGGUAAAUUUGUACCCACUGGUCUUGAAAAGAGAAGUGAAUGAGAAAUGUGGCAUGUAAAGUAUGCAUCACACAUGAAGUUUUGACUUGCUUUAGAAUUGUGUGGUGCAUUCUGUGCCAUGUUUAAUAAAGAUUGUGGCCUUUAAAUAAUACUCUAAGAAAUAGGCUACCUCCAAAAGAACUUUUUAGUGUAUGUAUACUUUCUGUCAAAGUAUUCAGACGAGAGAGGUAUUGGUAGUGACUUCUUAUAAAAACAUAGUUAUUGAUUGGUGACUGUGUUUUUCUAUUGGAGCUGGGCUAAGUAGAUACUUGGGAGUAAGAAAACUUUGGAGGCAGCCUUUGAGAGGAUCAAGGUAGAAAAGUGAUUCUUAAGUGUAAUGUACAGAACUGAUUUUUUUUUUUGAAGUUUUGAAAAGAACUUUGAGGAUGUUUUUUUAUUCUGUAAGCAGCAGUUUUAAACAAUCUUGAUUGUCAGAGAAGGCAGGUUCUUGUUAAAGCUCUACUGGAAGAAAAUGCAGUUCAAGUACAGCAUUUAUGGAUUGUGGUGUAUAGUGAAUACACUUGUGUUAUAUGAAAGCUCUUGGAAGGUCUGUCUGAGGGAGCCAGGCACUUUAGCGUGCUGCUUUUGCAGAUAGCCGUAUCCUUUCUUCAACCACGUGGUCCAGGAUGUUAUCCUUCAAUCCUUUGUUCUGGUCAUUCUGAUGAGUCAAUAUUGACUGCAUGAUGACCCUCUGUGAGGGUUGGUAUUUACACGUCUGAUCACUGUUGUGAAUAAUGAGGCACUUGGACCUUUUGAGCAAGUUUACACUAAUUUGUUCUAUUGUUACAGGCUCUGUUGUAGGCUGUUCUUACAGGCAGUAGGAGCAAUCAGCAGCACUGCUGUUCCCGAAAUAAUGAAUUUAACUUCUCCAUAAAUAAGUCUUGAACUUAUCUUAAGGAAGCUAGAAUGUUUUGAGGAAAUAGUAGUAUUUUUGUGCAAGUAACAUCUGAACUAAAAACAAAUGAAUACACAACUUUGAGAGCCUGAAAGCUUC